GUCCCUGUAGGUACAUAAACACAGUGAAUUUGUACAGAUGAAUGGCAUAGGGCCAAGAGAGAUCAUGUGGAGUCCCAAGAGGAGGCCUGAGGGAGAGGAAAUGCAUGGAACCCAACGAAGGCCCAAAAUUCAGAGCAGAUAUCCUUAAACUGGGGUCCAUAAGCGAUGUGUCUGUCUCCAAUCUCUGAGGAUAGAUAUAUGCCUCAGGCCCUACUGCAGCCCCACUGUCCCUGAAAGGCAUAAGCAAGGCCAGUCAUGUUGGUUUGGAAUUGUCACCAGAUACCUGCUAUGAUGCAAGAAAGUCCUGGACUGCCUGGUGAUUUGUACCUCCCUGCCCGAUAACCUGUGUGCAGGACUAAAAGACACUGAAUGUCUCAGACCUGGGUACAUGGAUGGAAAGUUUUGCUCUCUGGUAUUUAUAUCAGAUAUCCAUGAAACCUACAGAAAUCCACUGAGAAUAAAGUGCAGCAACAUGCUACCCUGAUACCUCAUUAGUGGUUCUGUGCCUCCUUUGGCAUUCUUUGACAGUCAGAAUGAACUGAAAAAGGUCCUAGCACAGCACUGCAUCCUUGACCAUUCCUGGCCCUCUGCCAACUAACCAUCAGAAACCUCCACUUUGGAUCUGCUCUUUAGGGACCCAGAGAAGCAGCAUAGGCCUAUGACUUCAGAUGAUUAUAGCUACUGAACCCCAUUACUAGAAGGUCCAGUUCUGGCCUCAACUCCUCCCUAAAAAACCAGAGAUCUCUCUUCCAGUCAGUAUGCUCAAUCUUGCCAAAAUGUUGAUUGGUGAACCCUAUACGCACUUAAUGAAUGCCUCAAGGGCAUUUGGCAUUGCCACAACACUGGUGAUUUCACAAAAGAUGCCAAGGGCUCUCCAGGAUACAAUAGAAUUUCCAGAGAAGGGACUGUUAGGGUCACUGCCAACAGUGUUCACCUAUCUUAUAACAAACUGUUCCCCAAUUCACCGAAAGCCAAGCUGCCCUUUCCAGGAGCCUUCCCUGAAACACAGGGGAAGGCCUUCAGCACCUUCUCCUUCCAAUCCAGAGAUCUCUCUGAUUCAUUAGAAUCUAGUUCAUUCUAAUUCAAUAGUUCAUCAUGUAUGGAGGGCAAGACUCAUUUUCCAAACUAUGCCCAGGAAUGGCUCUUCUCUUCCUGAUGAUCUCUAACAAGAUGAGAAAUAAAGGAUGCUAAGAAAUUAGCUCAGUAUAAUGGGGAAGGAAGAUCAGUUCCACGAGGUGAAUAAGCACAUCAGAGAAGAUCCACAGGGCAGUUAUAAUGUAUGAGGAUGGUGGAGGAUUAUGUGGGUCCUGUCAGAGCAAUGAUAAGUCACAUAGGUAAAGAUGAAACUUUUGCCAAAAGCGUCAGGAGAAUACAUUCCAUCCAUCAUGAUGUUAGCAAAGAUGUUAUCAACCAUUGAAAGGUGUGACUGAAAAUACCUAUGAACUGGGCAUCCACAGGUGAGCCCUCUGACACCAAGAACAAAUACUUACAGGAAGAGUGAUAUCCCAGUCCUACACUCAAGGUAGAGGGAAGAUGACUGGCUAGUGAGAGGGCAGGAACUCAGAAACCUUAGGGAUCACUGACAUGAAGCAAUACUUGGUAGUUCCUGCCCUGCUAGUGGUUGUUAUUUAAAAUGUGAGAGCCUCUAGCUCUGGCCAGGGGACAUUACUCUCUCUGUUAUUAGUGACACACACCAAAAGACAUCCAGUGUGUGUGAGUUGCUGGGCUGGUACUGAAACCUCUUUAGUCCCCAUGUGCUUCCUUCCCACUCAGAGUGAAAGCAGAGGGCCCUCAACAGAACAGCUGCAGCCAUGAAUAUUCCUGGCUCUCUGCCAAACUAACCUUGAAAAUCCUCAACUUUGUUCUGCUCUUGAAGAACUCAGAGGAGCAGGAACAUCAAAGACUUGAGGAAAAUCUUCAGUCGCUGCUGAAGCAGAAGGAGCUGCUCAUCCGGCAAAGGGACUUGGCAGCAAAGCUGCAGCAUCACUUCACUGUGUCCCAGAUGAGGUUUGAAAACCUCCAGCAGAAACUGGAGCCGACCACAGCCCAGGAUGAGAGCCUCCUGCAGAUGGAGCUGCUGAAGCAGAAACACUAUGUCUCAGGCAAGUCAGCCACCAUUGAGCCCCAUCCCCAGCAGCCAGGGUGUUCAUGGGGUGUGUUUCCUUCCUUAACUUUUGUUUACUAGGAAUGAAUAGGCCCUGAUUUUUUUGCCAUGUGCACAGCCAAACUGUUUCUGAAUCUAUUUUCUUUACUGAU